CAUUGACCAAAAACGCUAAAACAGUCCUACCUCCUAAGCGUCAUAAGAUGCAGCUAUGAGAAAACACAUACCCUAUGCUAAUCUCACACUUUCAUCUUUCAAGUAAACCCAUACCCCCGACCAGCAGUGUCCAGUAAAGCAGGAAGUCUAUGGAUGGGGUAAAAGGGUGGGCCACUAACACAAAUCACAUAACCAGAACUGCUGAAAG